CAUAAUCGUUUCUAUUCUUAGCUAUUGUAAUUUGUGCGUUCUGUUCGUGCGAUGUUUUUGGUUUUGAUUACUGUUUUGUUAUUCACAAGAGAAUGUUAUGGUGUAGAGUGUAUCAAAUGUACAGACGCUUUCUUGAAGGGAUCGUCUGUCCCGUUUGUACUACAGCAUUUUGAUUCAACAAACAGAAAUCCAGAAUGUGAAAAAGCACAAAUAGCUAAACCGGUUUCAGGCGUUUCUUUGCAAAGUUGUACGGAUGCUCCUGAUCACGAUCAAGUAAAUAAGUGUGGAAGAUUGGUAGGAACAGUGAAUGUGUCCAUACGUCACCAACUUGUCGAUAUAAAAGAUUUUCCUAUACAUUUCCACAUCAGAGGAUGUCUCAUCGUAGAGAAGUCAUUUAUAGGAGGAUGUUAUCGAGACAAACGGAUCAUUGAUAAGCAGAGAAGUGUUGUGUCUAACAUCUUCAAAGAAAUAAUUUCUUUAAAAAUUGGAGAAGUUGAAGCACAAUUUUGUGUAAAUAAAGCCAACAACUUAAGUACAUGGGAAACUAAGGUGUCAAAAGCCAACAACUUAAGUACAUGGGACACUAAUGCGUCAAAAGCAAACAACUUAAAUACAUGGUACCCUAAUGCGUCAAAAGAAUACUUAUUGAGGGUUACUUCAUAUGUUUGUGUCAUAGUUUUAUUCUUUUUAUAAAUAAAAUUAUUACAUGAUUGUAAAUCAGAAA